GGGCCCGUGGCCUAGCUGGAUAAAGGCGCCGGCCUUCGGAGCCGGAGAUCGUGGGUUCAAAUCCCACCGGGCCCG
rnacentral:tRNA from 1 species